rnacentral:rRNA from 1 species
CCCUAUGGGGUGCAGGUACGGCAUUCAUGGAUGGAAUAGCUGCAAAACCGCGGCGUUGCGGACUGAUCCCUGUUGUGCACAGGCUUCAAUAAUAAUCCGCCCACUCCAGUCGGGCCAGGGUUUUGUGGAGCGGGCCGGGGGCCCGCGCACAAGCCGCGCGGAUUCCGGCCUGGUGAAAGGCGCGGAAACCUCCCGCUUAACCCGCCUGAGUCAUUAGUGAUAUUUACACUCUUACGAAAAAAUAUUUUGCACCAUUUGCUCUAAACGCUUUAAACGCACCAACGUCGCUGGACGCCAAAGCAGACGAUUGUUAUUUUAGUGCAUUAGUUUAUAUUCAUGAUUUCCGCACAUUGCGGGUUGUGUUUUACGGCGGGAGGGC